rnacentral:rRNA from 1 species
CCCCUAGAUGUUCUGGGCCGCACGCGCGCUACACUGAACAGUUCAACAAGUCUUAACCUUGGCCGAUAGGUCUGGGUAAUCUUUGAACGCUGUUCGUGAUUGGGAUAGACCUUUGCAAUUAUGGGUCUUCAACGAGGAAUUCCUAGUAAACGCAAGUCAUCAGCUUGCAUUGAUUACGUCCCUGCCCUUUGUACACACCGCCCGUCGCACCUACCGAUUGAAUGGUCCGGUGAAAUCUCGGGACGGCGGCUUGGUCGCUUGCGUCCGACUGCUGAAACUUGAUUAAACCAUAUCAUUUAGCGGAAGGUGAAGUCGUANCA